AUGGCUGUCGUCAGCUCGUGUUGUGAAAUGUUGGGUUAAGUCCCGCAACGAGCGCAACCCUUAUCCUUUGUUGCCAGCGGUCCGGCCGGGAACUCAAAGGAGACUGCCAGUGAUAAGCUGGAGGAAGGUGGGGAUGACGUCAAGUCAUCAUGGCCCUUACGACCAGGGCUACACACGUGCUACAAUGGCGCAUACAAAGAGAAGCGACCUCGCGAGAGCAAGCGGACCUCAUAAAGUGCGUCGUAGUCCGGAUUGGAGUCUGCAACUCGACUCCAUGAAGUCGGAAUCGCUAGUAAUCGUGGAUCAGAAUGCCACGGUGAAUACGUUCCCGGGCCUUGUACACACCGCCCGUCACACCAUGGGAGUAGGUUGCAAAAGAAGUAGGUAGCUUAACCUUCGGGAGGGCGCUUACCACUUUGUGAUUCAUGACUGGGGUGAAGUCGUAACAAGGUAACCGUAGGGGAACCUGCGGUUGGAUCACCUC
rnacentral:rRNA from 1 species